UACGGGGGGGGCAAGCGUUGUUCGGAAUUACUGGGCGGAAAGGGCUCGUAGGUGGCCAACUAAGUCAGACGUGAAAUCCCUCAGCUUAACUGGGGAACUGCGUCUGAUACUGGAUGGCUUGAGUUUGGGAGAGGGAUGCGGAAUUCCAGGUGUAGCGGUGAAAUGCGUAGAUAUCUGGAGGAACACCGGUGGCGAAGGCGGCAUCCUGGACCGGCAUUGACGCUGAGGAGCGAAAGCCAGGGGAGCAAACGGG
rnacentral:rRNA from 1 species